GACGAACGCUGGCGGCGUGCUUAACACAUGCAAGUCGAACGGGAAGGCCCUGCUUUUGUGGGGUGCUCGAGUGGCGAACGGGUGAGUAACACGUGAGUAACCUGCCCUUGACUUUGGGAUAACUUCAGGAAACUGGGGCUAAUACCGGAUAGGAGCUCCUGCUGCAUGGUGGGGGCUGGAAAGUUUCGGCGGUUGGGGAUGGACUCGCGGCUUAUCAGCUUGUUGGUGGGGUAGUGGCUUACCAAGGCUUUGACGGGUAGCCGGCCUGCGAGGGUGACCGGCCACAUUGGGACUGGAAUACGGCCCAGACUCCUACGGGAGGCAACAGUGGGGAAUAGUGCACAAUGGGCGGAAGCCUAAUGCAGCAACGCCGCGUGCGGGAUGACGGCCUGCGGGUUGUGAACCGCUUUCGCCUGUGACGAAGCGUGAGUGACGGUAAUGGGUAAAGAAGCACCGGCUAACUACGUG
rnacentral:rRNA from 1 species